GCUACAGUAAAUGUAAUUUAUAUAUGACAGAAAGAGUUCUUGAUUUUUUGUUCUUUCUUUGACCUCGCUGUUUACAGAAGAUGAGCUCAACUUCCUUCUCUGUUACGAGAAGUGGUCACGUAGUAAGAUUGAUUAUCUCAUGGCCUUGAACCUUCGUACAACCUCCGUUCAAAAUAUUGCCAAAAUAAUUGGAGGAUGCCUGGCUAAGAUGACGAGAUGGAAUUUCGAGAAUGGUGCUACUAGGAUCUAGUUGUAGAUGAUUUUUAGAAUGUCAUUUUGAGAUAUGCACAUCUUGUAUUCCUUGAAUCAUGCUCUAUGUACAGCUACAGAAUUGAUUUAAUAUAUGAGGUCUUUCUAUUUAUUA